rnacentral:rRNA from 1 species
UACGUAGGGUGCGAGCGUUGUCCGGAAUUAUUGGGCGUAAAGAGCUCGUAGGCGGUCUGUCGCGUCUGCUGUGAAAACCCGGGGCUCAACCCCGGGCCUGCAGUCGAUACGGGCGGACUAGAGUUCGGCAGGGGAGACUGGAAUUCCUGGUGUAGCGGUGAAAUGCGCAGAUAUCAGGAGGAACACCGGUGGCGAAGGCGGGUCUCUGGGCCGAUACUGACGCUGAGGAGCGAAAGCGUGGGGAGCGAACAGG